GACGAACGCUGGCGGCGUGCUUAACACAUGCAAGUCGAACGGAAAGGCCCUGCUUUUGUGGGGUGCGCGAGUGGCGAACGGGUGUGUAACACGUGCGUAACCUGCCCGUGACUUUGGGAUAACUUCAGGAAACUGGGGCUAAUACCGGAUAGGAGCUCCUGCUGCAUGGGGGGGGAUGGAAAGUUUCGGCGGUUGGGGAUGGACUCGCGGCUUAUCAGCUUGUUGGUGUGGUAGUGGCUUACCGAGGCUUUGACGGGUAGCCGGCCUGAGAGGGUGACCGGCCACAUUGGGACUGAGAUACGGCCCAGCCUCCUACGCGAGGCAGCAGUGCGGAAUAUUGCACUAUGGGCGGAAGCCUGAUGCAGCACCGCCGCGUGCCGGAUGACGGCCUUCGGGUUGUAAUCCGCUUUCGCCUCUGACGAAGCGUUAGUGACGGUACUGGGUAAAGAAGCACCGGCUAACUACGUG
rnacentral:rRNA from 1 species